AGAGUUUGAUCCUGGCUCAGGACGAACGCUGGCGGCGUGCUUAACACAUGCAAGUCGAACGAUGAAGCCCUUCGGGGUGGAUUAGUGGCGAACGGGUGAGUAACACGUGGGCAAUCUGCCCUUCACUCUGGGACAAGCCCUGGAAACGGGGUCUAAUACCGGAUAACACCGGCUUCCGCAUGGGAGCUGGUUAAAAGCUCCGGCGGUGAAGGAUGAGCCCGCGGCCUAUCAGCUUGUUGGUGGGGUAAUGGCCUACCAAGGCGACGACGGGUAGCCGGCCUGAGAGGGCGACCGGCCACACUGGGACUGAGACACGGCCCAGACUCCUACGGGAGGCAGCAGUGGGGAAUAUUGCACAAUGGGCGAAAGCCUGAUGCAGCGACGCCGCGUGAGGGAUGACGGCCUUCGGGUUGUAAACCUCUUUCAGCAGGGAAGAAGCGAAAGUGACGGUACCUG
rnacentral:rRNA from 1 species